GUAUACAAUCUGCCUUGUACUGGGGGAUAGCCUUUAGAAAUGAAGAUUAACACCCCAUAAUAUAUUUAUACCGCAUGUAUUUAUAUUAAAGGUUACGGUACAAGAUGAGUAUGCGUCCUAUUAGCUAGUUGGUAUGGUAACGGCAUACCAAGGCAACGAUAGGUAGGGGCCCUGAGAGGGGGAUCCCCCACACUGGUACUGAGACACGGACCAGACUCCUACGGGAGGCAGCAGUGAGGAAUAUUGGACAAUGGGGGCAACCCUGAUCCAGCCAUGCCGCGUGCAGGAAGACUGCCCUAUGGGUUGUAAACUGCUUUUGUACGGGAAGAAACCGUCCUACGUGUAGGGCCUUGACGGUACCGUAAGAAUAAGCAUCGGCUAACUCCGUGCCGGCAGCCGCGGUAAUACGGAGGAUGCAAGCGUUAUCCGGAAUCAUUGGGUUUAAAGGGUCCGUAGUGGGCCGGUCAGUCAGAGGUGAAAUCCUGCAGCUCAACUGUAGAACUGCCUUUGAUACUGCCGGUCUUGAAUCGUUGUGAAGUGGUUAGAAUAUGUAGUGUAGCGGUGAAAUGCAUAGAUAUUACAUAGAAUACCGAUUGCGAAGCAGAUCACUAACAGCGUAUUGACACUGAUGGACGAAAGCGUAGGUAGCGAACGGGAUUAGAUACCCCGGUAGUCUACGCCGUAAACGAUGGAUACUAGCUGUGCGCUUCGGCUGUGUGGCUAAGCGAAAGUGAUAAGUAUCCCACCUGGGGAGUACGUUCGCAAGAAUGAAACUCAAAGGAAUUGACGGGGGCCCGCACAAGCGUGGAGCAUGUGGUUUAAUUCGAUGAUACGCGAGG
rnacentral:rRNA from 1 species